rnacentral:rRNA from 1 species
UACGUAGGGUGCAAGCGUUGUCCGGAAUUAUUGGGCGUAAAGAGCUCGUAGGCGGUCUGUCGCGUCGGCUGUGAAAACCCGGGGCUCAACCCCGGGCUUGCGGUCGAUACGGGCAGGCUCGAGUUCGGUAGGGGAGACUGGAAUUCCUGGUGUAGCGGUGAAAUGCGCAGAUAUCAGGAGGAACACCGGUGGCGAAGGCGGGUCUCUGGGCCGAUACUGACGCUGAGGAGCGAAAGCGUGGGGAGCGAACAGG